rnacentral:lncRNA from 1 species
AACAUUGGUCAUGGGAGGAAUGGGCUCCAGCAGCAGCAGGGUAGCAUCACCGAGCACCUGCUCGCUGCCAGGCACCGUGCUGGGAACUAGGAACACAGAGAAGAGCAAGGAGGUCCAUGUCAUCAAGGCACCGACAGUCUGGAUGGGGAAAGAAACCACAGAUCUUUACAAAGCAAGGUGAAAAGAACCAAGACUAUAGGAUCAUAUCCUUUCCCUUCACAUCCAGAGAAGAGAAGAGGAUCCAUAAGGGGGCAUUCCCAGCUCCUUGAUGGUUUGCUGUGUGACUGUCCAAAAAUGUCUCUACAUCUCUGUUUUUCUGGCACCAUAAGCUGAAGUUGGUUCCCAAAGAUGGUUCCCAGGUCAUGGGAGGAAUAGGACAGGGAAUUCCAGAACCAAAUUUCUGUCUAAGAAAGAAACAAUUAUCUAAGAAAUUGUGAGUGGAAUUGGACUGAACGUGGAUGAGUCAGGGCUCUUGAAAAAGAAAGUGGCCGUCCCUCUUUUGAGUCAGUUCUGCAAGAGUGGACAGAAACUUUUCCAGACUCCCAGGCCUCUCUGCUCCCUCAGAGCUUGAAAAGAUUAAAGUCAUUCCUCCUCAAGGUCUUCAGUGAAACCCUGGAAAUCUUUCCUUCAAUUUUAAGAGAUUACAGUUCUUCCCCUUGUCUAGUCUCUGUCACUACUUGCUGUAGCAUGAGGUGGCUUCCCUGGGGGAAAGUGUACCAGUCCCGCUCAUUGGUCAUCUAAGACCUCCCAGCAUUCCUCAAGACAUUUCUGCCUCAUGAUGUCAGAAGAAGGGCUGUCAAAUAGAUUUUAAAACCCCAGGCUCGGCCAGGCACAGUGGCUCACGCUUGUAAUCCCAGCACUUUGCGGGAAUCACGAGGGCAGAAGAUCGAGACCAUCCUGGCUAACACGAUGAAACCCCAUCUCUAAUAAAAAUACAAAAAA